rnacentral:rRNA from 1 species
UACGUAGGUGGCAAGCGUUGUCCGGAUUUACUGGGCGUAAAGAGCGCGCAGGCGGUCGUUUAAGUCGAAUGUGAAAGCCCCCGGCUCAACUGAGGAGGGUCAUUCGAUACUGAUCGACUUGAAGGCAGGAGAGGGAAGUGGAAUUCCGGGUGUAGUGGUGAAAUGCGUAGAUAUCCGGAGGAACACCAGUGGCGAAGGCGACUUCCUGGCCUGUUCUUGACGCUGAGGCGGCGAAAGCUGGGGGAGCAAACGGGG